UUAUGCUAAAUAUGAUGAGUAUACAAAAUCUUGAUUAAAAAAUGAAAACAUUAUGCUAAG
ensembl:snoRNA